AGGGGAGACUGCUGGGUGAGGAAAGUGGUCAGUGACUACAAGAACUAGGCAGAGGAAAAGACCGGCUAGUGAAAGAGAAAUAGAGUUCAGGAACAGGUUUGCUGAGUUGGAAAAUGAAGUAGUGGCAUGGCAGGCUGUAACUGAAGGAGGGAGGGCAAGGAAGAAGAGAAGAAUGGCUAUUCCUGGAAGAAGAGGGGAAGAAUCAAUGGAGAUACCAGAGUUCAGAGCCCCAGGAAGAUACAGGAUGACUUGCAGAAGAUUGCAAGGGAGAAUAAAAGACAAAAGGACUUGCAGCGAGAAAGCACAGGAGGAAGGCUGGAGAAUCACACCAUCACCAGGAAAAGAAUCUUUCACUGCAUCUUUCACAACCUCCCAAGAUGCACACAGUUCAAGGUAGUUCUUCAAAAUUGAAACCAAUGCCUCUGCACAAAGAAUAGAUCUUGUUGGACAGAGGACACAGAUGCCAGGCAGAAGAGGAUCCUUAUGUAUCAGCUGAAAAGUCAAGACAAAUUUGCUGAAGAAGACGGCUGUUUCAUCUGCCAUACCUGUAUGCCACUUUCCAGAAUUUUUCUCAGAAAUAUUUUUCACUGUUUUAAGAGCCAUGAUUUCCUUUAUCUCAUUUUGAACCCCCAGGUUGAGAACCAGUGCUUAAGCAGAAAGUGUUCAUGAUAUACAAGAGCUACAAGUUCAUCCUGGCCUUCAUUUUGAGUUAAUAACUAGGAAAUGGUGCCAGUACUUGGUGAUUCAUGUUCAUGUUGAGGAUAUGCGGGGUUUGACCUCUUCUCUCACAAUUCCCCUAGACUCCCAGAAGAUCUCAAAAUCUCCUAACAGCUUCUGCUUUAGAGAGAUGUACUAGGAACUGUGGGACAGCUACCCACAGGGCAUUGCAGCUACAAUGAUAUAGAAGAGCACUAAUGUGAAAGUGGGUGUGAUAUUCUGGGUUUCUACUCAGACCCAGAUAGUUGAGUGGUUACCUCCUCCCCUUCUUAGUUUGUCUUUUAUGUAAAUGCAUUUCCAAUGUCUCUUGAUUUAUCUUCAAGGAGAUGGAACCACAUUCCGUUGUCUAAGGUGGGAUACCUUAUGUCCUGCCAGGCACACAUUUUAAGAACAUAAUUUCAGCACAUAUUUAUAACUCUGUACACAUUCCAUACAUACAUCAUGCAAGAAUAUUAGUGAUCAGUGAUGUAUUAAUUUUCCAGUGAUAUAUUAUUAUGUGCUACCUUUUGGGUAUAUAUCAUGACAUCAGUGUGUUGGGUGUAGUUAGUGUGUCAGGCUUGACAAAAGUGCUGACACAGAGUAGCGAACCACUAAUGGGCCUCUGUAUAAAACUAAACUGAAACCACAGGUUUCAGUGGUAGCCGUGUUAGUCUGUAUCAGCAAACAAAAAAAAGAGGAGUCCUUGUGGCACCUUAGAGACUAACAAAUUUAUUUGG